AUUGAACGCUGGCGGAAUGCUUUACACAUGCAAGUCGAACGGUAGAGGGGGCAACCCCUCGAGAGUGGCGAACGGGUGAGUAAUAUAUCGGAACGUGCCCAGUCGUGGGGGAUAACGUAGCGAAAGUUACGCUAAUACCGCAUACGAUCUAAGGAUGAAAGCGGGGGAUCGCAAGACCUCGCGCGAUUGGAGCGGCCGAUAUCAGAUUAGGUAGUUGGUGGGGUAAAGGCUCACCAAGCCAACGAUCUGUAGCUGGUCUGAGAGGACGACCAGCCACACUGGAACGGAGACACGGUCCCGACUCCUACGGGAGGCAGCAGUGGGGAAUUUUGGACAAUGGACGCAAGUCUGAUCCAGCCAUUCCGCGUGCAGGAUGAAGGCCCUCGGGUUGUAAACUGCUUCUGUACGGAACGAAAAGGUCUCUCUUAAUACGGGGGGCUCAUGACGGUACCGUAAGAAUAAGCACCGGCUAACUACGUGCCAGCCGCCGCCGUAA
rnacentral:rRNA from 1 species